GCUACAUCUAAAGCUAAUGCUAAUGCUAAUGCUAAAAACAACUCAAAUGAUAUGUCAUAUACCCUUUUUCUUAUAGUGGUUUCUUUUCAUUUUAGUUUCAAAUUUGAGAUAUGCUGUGCUUGUCUUCAUUGCUUGUGUUGUUACCUACUACAAUCCAACACAUAUGGUAAGCAUUUUUCAUUAUUUAUAGGUGAAAACAAAAGAAAAAAAAAAUUGCCAA
rnacentral:lncRNA from 1 species